rnacentral:rRNA from 1 species
GGGUCAGCAGGUUGGUCGUGCCAUUGGUAUGCACUGGCCUUGCUGAUUCCUCCCUCUUGAUGAGCCGUAAUGUCAUUAAUUUGGUGUUGCGGGGAAUCAGGACUGUUACUUUGAAAAAAUUAGAGUGUUUAAAGCAGGCGAGCGCUUGAAUACAUUAGCAUGGAACAAUGAAAUAGGACGUUCGAUCCUAUUUUGUUGGUUUCUAGGAUUGACGUAAUGA